AGGAGAGAAAAGAAACCAUUGUACUGACUGGAGUUUCGGUUAGUGAGUGGCACUGCUCUGCAGAUUUCAUCCAUCAAAGAAAUGUCUCCACAAGUUGUCAAGAUCCCAGCUGUUCCCCAGGAACCUCUACAAGUGUGACUUACCUUGUGAAAGUUUCUGAAAUAAGCUGCCUUUUCAUCUGGAAAUUUUUCUAGCCUUCUAGGUCCCUUGCUAGAAGCCUUCUUAAAAACCAACCAGCAUCGUCUGAAAAUCUGAAACAAAUAAAGGAAUCUGAUUAUCCACCCUUUCC